UACGUAGGGGGCGAGCGUUGUCCGGAUUUACUGGGCGUAAAGCGCGUGUAGGCGGGAGAUUAAGUUGGGUGUGAAAGCCCGGGGCUCAACCCCGGGAUGCCGCCCAAGACUGGUCUCCUUGAGGACGGAAGAGGGGAGUGGAAUUCCUGGUGUAGCGGUGAAAUGCGUAGAUAUCAGGAAGAACACCGGUGGCGAAAGCGCUCUGCUAGGCCGCAACUGACACUGAGGGACGAAAGCUAGGGGAGCGAAUGGG
rnacentral:rRNA from 1 species